CGUAGGGUGCAAGCGUUAAUCGGAAUUACUGGGCGUAAAGCGUGCGCAGGCGGUCUUGCAAGACAGAUGUGAAAUCCCCGGGCUCAACCUGGGAACUGCAUUUGUGACUGCAAGGCUGGAGUGCGGCAGAGGGGGAUGGAAUUCCGCGUGUAGCAGUGAAAUGCGUAGAUAUGCGGAGGAACACCGAUGGCGAAGGCAAUCCCCUGGGCCUGCACUGACGCUCAUGCACGAAAGCGUGGGGAGCAAACAGGAUUAGAUACCCUGGUAGUCCACGCCCUAAACGAUGUCAACUGGUUGUUGGGAGGGUUUCUUCUCAGUAACGUAGCUAACGCGUGAAGUUGACCGCCUGGGGAGUACGGCCGCAAGGUUG
rnacentral:rRNA from 1 species